AUAAGUAACAGGUCGUAGACCCGAAACCAGGUGAUCUACCCAUGUCCAGGAUGAAGGUAAGGUAAUACUUACUGGAGGUCCGAACCCACGCACGUUGAAAAGUGCGGGGAUGAGGUGUGGGUAGCGGAGAAAUUCCAAUCGAACUUGGAGAUAGCUGGUUCUCUCCGAAAUAGCUUUAGGGCUAGCCUCGAGGUAAAGAGUCAUGGAGGUAGAGCACUGUUUGGACUAGGGGCCCUUCUCGGGUUACCGAAUUCAGAUAAACUCCGAAUGCCAUGUACUUAUACUCGGGAGUCAGACUGCGAGUGAUAAGAUCCGUAGUCGAAAGGGAAACAGCCCAGACCACCAGUUAAGGUCCCCAAAUAUAUGUUAAGUGGAAAAGGAUGUGGGGUUGCUUAGACAACCAGGAUGUUGGCUUAGAAGCAGCCACCAUUGAAAGAGUGCGUAAUAGCUCACUGGUCGAGUGACCCCGCGCCGAAAAUGUACCGGGGCUAAACAUAUUACCGAAACUGUGGAUGAACCUCUUUGGAGGUUCGUGGUAGGAGAGCGUUCUAAGGGCGGUGAAGUCAGACCGGAAGGACUGGUGGAGCGCUUAGAAGUGAGAAUGCCGGUAUGAGUAGCGAAAGAAGGGUGAGAAUCCCUUCCACCGAAUAUCUAAGGUUUCCUGAGGAAGGCUCGUCCGCUCAGGGUUAGUCGGGACCUAAGCCGAGGCCGAUAGGCGUAGGCGAUGGACAACAGGUAGAGAUUCCUGUACCAGUGCUAAUUGUUUAACCGAUGGGGUGACACAGAAGGAUAGGGAAUCGCACGAAUGGAAAUGUGCGUCCAAGCAGUGAGUGUGAGAAGUAGGCAAAUCCGCUUCUCGCGAAGCAUGAGCUGUGAUGGGGAAGGAAAUAAAGUACGGAAGUUCCUGAUUUCACGCUGUCAAGAAAAGCCUCUAGGAAGAGUAGUACUGCCCGUACCGCAAACCGACACAGGUAGAUGAGGAGAGAAUCCUAAGGUGAGCGAGAGAACUCUCGUUAAGGAACUCGGCAAAAUGACCCCGUAACUUCGGGAGAAGGGGUGCUCUAUUAGGGUGCAAGCCCGAGAGAGCCGCAGUGAAUAGGCCCAGGCGACUGUUUAGCAAAAACACAGGUCUCUGCAAAACCGUAAGGUGACGUAUAGGGGCUGACGCCUGCCCGGUGCUGGAAGGUUAAGAGGAGUGCUUAGCUUCGGCGAAGGUACGAAUUGAAGCCCCAGUAAACGGCGGCCGUAACUAUAACGGUCCUAAGGUAGCGAAAUUCCUUGUCGGGUAAGUUCCGACCCGCACGAAAGGCGCAACGAUCUGGGCACUGUCUCAACGAGAGACUCGGUGAAAUUAUAGUACCUGUGAAGAUGCAGGUUACCCGCGACAGGACGGAAAGACCCCGUGGAGCUUUACUGCAACCUGAUAUGGAAUGUUUGUACCGCUUGUACAGGAUAGGUAGGAGCCGAAGAGACGUGUGCGCUAGCAUACGAGGAGGCAAUGGUGGGAUACUACCCUGGCUGUAUGACCAUUCUAACCCGCCACGCUUAGCGCGUGGGGAGACAGUGUCAGGUGGGCAGUUUGACUGGGGCGGUCGCCUCCUAAAGAGUAACGGAGGCGCCCAAAGGUUCCCUCAGAAUGGAUGGAAAUCAUUCGCAGAGUGUAAAGGCACAAGGGAGCUUGACUGCGAGACUGACAAGUCGAGCAGGGACGAAAGUCGGGCUUAGUGAUCCGGUGGUUCCGCAUGGAAGGGCCAUCGCUCAACGGAUAAAAGCUACCCCGGGGAUAACAGGCUUAUCUCCCCCAAGAGUCCACAUCGACGGGGAGGUUUGGCACCUCGAUGUCGGCUCGUCGCAUCCUGGGGCUGUAGUCGGUCCCAAGGGUUGGGCUGUUCGCCCAUUAAAGCGGCACGCGAGCUGGGUUCAGAACGUCGUGAGACAGUUCGGUCCCUAUCCGUCGCGGGCGCAGGAAAUUUGAGAGGAGCUGUCCUUAGUACGAGAGGACCGGGAUGGACACACCGCUGGUGUACCAGUUGUUCCGCCAGGAGCAUCGCUGGGUAGCUAUGUGUGGCAGGGAUAAACGCUGAAAGCAUCUAAGCGUGAAGCCCCCCUCAAGAUGAGAUUUCCCAUUUCUUCGGAAAGUAAGAUCCCUGAAAGAUGAUCAGGUAGAUAGGUUUGGAGUGGAAGUGUAGCGAUACAUGGAGCGGACAAAUACUAAUCGAUCGAGGACUUAACCAAAA
rnacentral:rRNA from 1 species